AAGUUUUUAAGGGCCGCGGUAUUUUGACCGUGCGAAGGUAGCAUAAUCAUUAGUUUUUUAAUUGGAAUCUUGUAUGAAUGGUUAGACAAGAGAAACUCUGUCUCUUUAUUAAAAAUUGAAUUUAACUUUUAAGUGAAAAGGCUUAAAUAAGUUAAAGGGACGAUAAGACCCUAUAAAGAUUUUUUUGGGGUGAAAAAAGUAAAAUGAAUAACUGCUGUAAAUGUGAUACAUGUUAGUUGGAAUAAAUUUUUAAAAGAUCCUAAAUAAAGAUUAUAAGUUUAAGUUACUUUAGGGAUAACAGCGUUAUUUUUUUUGAGAGUACGUAUCGAAAAAAAAGUUUGCGACCUCGAUGUUGAAUUAAAAUUUCUUUAUAGAAGCAGAAAUUAUAAUAGUUGGUCUGUUCGACCUUUAAAAUUUU
rnacentral:rRNA from 1 species